rnacentral:lncRNA from 1 species
GACAAUCUUUUACCCCAAACACAAAUUAUAUGUGAGCUCUAGGAAUUGUUCAGCGUACAGCUCCGCCAUCACCUGGUGGUUUUCUGCCCAGCUUCAUGGAGUUUUAGCCUAGGCCUGCACAGUUUAGUAUCCAACAACAGACUCAAAGACCUCAGUGCAGAAAUGUGGAGGUCUUUCUCCACAGAGCGUUCUCCUGCCUCACUGGUGGUCAGCCCUGCACAUUCCAGACAUCUCUGCAUCCCUGAACUCCAGUCUCUACCUCCCCAACUCAGUACGAAUGAAGUGCUCUGUUUGGGUUCCUGCUACGUGGACCAUUGUCAGACUUCACUUCCCAUGGUAGAAGCAAAGAGGAGGCGCUCAGCUCUGAAAAGAAAAACGGGGGAACGUCACAAUGAAGAGGAAGCCCCUUUUUCUGUCCCUGGAUACAGUUGCAUCACAUAAUGACAGGGAUAUGUUCUAAGAUAAGUGACCUCAGACAUCUGAAGAAGGCUGGAUAAGAUCAGAGAUGAAUCAUGAGGCCUGGCCUCCGAAAAAAGUCAGAAGCACACACUGGAUGAGAACGAAGGAACUCAUGGAAACAAAUGGAUCUCAAAGAUUUAAUGCAGCCAGCUCGUGCAUAUUAACAGGUAUGAUGUGAAGGUGAAUUUACUGAAGCACAAGUCAAAACCUGGGGUUUGUGUUGUAAUUGUGAGAAAGAAC